CACACCCAAGGGAAGGAGAUUCCGCAAGGGCAUGGAUACCAGGAGGGACGAAGAAGAGGGACAAAAAGGGAAAACGAUUUGCUGUCAUUGUAUCCACAAAGUGCACAUUUUCUUUGUACGGCUGAAAUGUCUGUGCGUCUGAGAGCUUGCAAGCUUGUCUGAAAUGGUCUAAUUGCCUGAUCUCAAUCCUGGCUGGGUGCCUUGCAUCUGGCUUUUCAUGGAUUUGAAUUGGGAGGGGCCGUUGGGGGAG
rnacentral:lncRNA from 10 species